UUAGGUGCAGAAGAAUUUGCCAUCAUCACUUUGAGCCGCAAUAUGAAACACGGAGCAAUAGGCUUAGUCCAGCUGCAGUACCCACCCUUUAUUUGCAAGCUUUCCAGUCACGACAACCUUUGGAAGAUAUAUCUAAUCGGUCAAAUACUCCAAAUUCAAUGCAGCCGGCUCCAUCAACUUCAACUUCACAGACUGCUACUAGUGUAAUGGAGACAUGUGCAACUGUGAAAGAUAAUGCCCAAAGAAAAAUUGUUAACCAUUUCAAUUCUCAUCUUGCAGCUUUGGGAAAUAAAAUAAA